AUGAAUGAGACAUGGAUAAUUACAAGUAGGAAAAUAUUCAUAAAAUCUCUUUGCUUAUUUGUAGCUUAUAGAUCCGGAGGCAGAAAUGAAAGAUGUGCAGAUAAAGAGAAUGCCCAUGUAGAAAUUUCAGUGACCUACACUGCUAAAAGCAGAAGAACCACAGCUGGUGAUUGCUUGAGGCAAUCUGGCACACCUGUAAUGGGGCAGCUCAGGAAAUGUUUUUGCACGGGAGAUUUUCUUCCAGAUCAGUCUGGAUGUAAGGAUUACCUAGAUCGCCUGUCCUGUCUUCCAGCUGCACUGUGUUUACUCUGGAGGAGCCAGGAAUGGCCUGGGGAGCAAGUGCAAUUUGUUUGCUUUUCUGUGUCAAAUGCCAAUUACAUUGAACAAAUAAGCAAGAAUUUGGUCUUACAUCAGACCUGUUGA
rnacentral:lncRNA from 1 species